UGUUUUUUUGUUUGUUUGUUUAUUUCCCACAGAUGCUUACAGACAGGUGCACAAUAUAAAUCAUAUUUUGCAACCCAAACUCAUCAUUCAGUAUGAGUUUUGAUACAUUUAAGAAGGAAUAUU
rfam:Tupaia chinensis contig3781, whole genome shotgun sequence.